rnacentral:rRNA from 1 species
UACGAAGGGGGCUAGCGUUGCUCGGAAUUACUGGGCGUAAAGGGCGCGUAGGCGGAUAUUUAAGUUAGAGGUGAAAGCCCAGGGCUCAACCCUGGAAUAGCCUUUAAUACUGGAUAUCUUGAGUUCGGGAGAGGUGAGUGGAACUCCGAGUGUAGAGGUGAAAUUCGUAGAUAUUCGGAAGAACACCAGUGGCGAAGGCGACUGCAC